UACGAAGGGUGCAAGCGUUACUCGGAAUUACUGGGCGUAAAGCGUGCGUAGGUGGUUUGUUAAGUCUGAUGUGAAAGCCCUGGGCUCAACCUGGGAAUUGCAUUGGAUACUGGCAGGCUAGAGUCCGGAAGAGGAGAGUGGAAUUCCCGGUGUAGCGGUGAAAUGCGCAGAUAUCGGGAAGAACACCCGUGGCGAAGGCGGCUCUCUGGGACGGUACUGACGCUGAGACGCGAAAGCGUGGGGAGCGAACAGG
rnacentral:rRNA from 1 species